AAGUCGUAACAAGGUUUCCGUGGUGAACCUGCGGAAGGAUCAUUACAGAAUGAAAAGUGCUUAACUGCCUUUUUUCUUACACAUGUGUUUUUCUUUUUUUGAAAACUUUGCUUUGGUAGGACUUCUAUAUGGGGCCUGCCAGAGAUUAAACUCAACCAAAAUUUAUUUAAUGUCAACCGAUUAUUUAAUAGUCAAAACUUUCAACAACGGAUCUCUUGGUUCUCGCAUCGAAGAAGAACGCAGCGAAAUGCGAUAAGUAAUAUGAAUUGCAAAUAUUCGUGAAUCAUCGAAUCUUUGAACGCACAUUGCGCCCUUUGGUAUUCCAAAGGGCAUGCCUGUUUGAGCGUCAUUUCUCCCUCAAACCCUCCGGUUUGGUGUUGAGCGAUACACUGGGUUUGCUUGAAAGAAAGGCGGAGUAUAAACUAAUGGAUAGGUUUUUUCCACUCAUUGGUACAAACUCCAAAAAUUCAUCCAAAUUCUACCUCCCAUCAGGUAGGACUACCCGCUGAACUUG
rnacentral:rRNA from 1 species